UACGUAGGUGACAAAUGUUAUCCGGAAUUACUGGGCGUAAAGGGUCUGUAGGCGGAUGUUUAGGUCUGAUGUGACACCUCCCGGCUCAACUGGGAGUAUGCAUUGGAAACCGGACAACUAGAAUCACGUCGAGGUCGGUGGAAUUCCCGGUGUAGUGGUGGAAUGCGUAGAGAUCGGGAGGAACCUCGAAAGCGAAGGCAGCCGGCUAGACGAUGAUUGACGCUGAGGGACGAUAGCGUGGGGAGCAAACAGG
rnacentral:rRNA from 1 species